rnacentral:SRP_RNA from 2 species
GCCGGGCGUGGUGGCGGGUGCCUGUAAUCCCAGCUGCUCAGGAGGCUGAGACAGGAGAAUUGCUUGGACCCGGGAGGCAGAGGUUGCAGUGAGCCAAGAUCAUGCCACUGCACUCCAUCCUGGGUGACAGAGCGAGACUCUGUCUCAA